UAACGCGUGGGUAACCUGCCUUGUANAGGGGGAUAACAGUUGGAAACGGCUGCUAAUACCGCAUAAGCGCACGGCAUCGCAUGAUGCAGUGUGAAAAACUCCGGUGGUAUAAGAUGGACCCGCGUUGGAUUAGCUAGUUGGUGAGGUAACGGCCCACCAAGGCGACGAUCCAUAGCCGACCUGAGAGGGUGACCGGCCACAUUGGGACUGAGACACGGCCCAAACUCCUACGGGAGGCAGCAGUGGGGAAUAUCGCACAAUGGGCGAAAGCCUGAUGCAGCGACGCCGCGUGAGCGAAGAAGUAUUUCGGUAUGUAAAGCUCUAUCAGCAGGGAAGAUAAUGACGGUACCUGACUAANAAGCACCGGCUAAAUACGCGCCAGCAGCCGCGGUAAUACGUAUGGUGCAAGCGUUAUCCGGAUUUACUGGGUGUAAAGGGAGCGCAGGCGGUGCGGCAAGUCUGAUGUGAAAGCCCGGGGCUCAACCCCGGUACUGCAUUGGAAACUGUCGUACUAGAGUGUCGGAGGGGUAAGCGGAAUUCCUAGUGUAGCGGUGAAAUGCGUAGAUAUUAGGAGGAACACCAGUGGCGAAGGCGGCUUACUGGACGAUAACUGACGCUGAGGCUCGAAAGCGUGGGGAGCAAACAGGAUUAGAUACCCUGGUAGUCCACGCCGUAACGAUGAAUACUAUGUGU
rnacentral:rRNA from 1 species